rnacentral:rRNA from 1 species
UACGUAGGUGGCGAGCGUUGUCCGGAAUUACUGGGUGUAAAGGGAGCGUAGGCGGGAAUGCAAGUUGAAUGUGAAAUCUACCGGCUCAACCGGUAGCUGCGUUCAAAACUGUGUUUCUUGAGUGAAGUAGAGGCAGGCGGAAUUCCUAGUGUAGCGGUGAAAUGCGUAGAUAUUAGGAGGAACACCAGUGGCGAAGGCGGCCUGCUGGGCUUUUACUGACGCUGAGGCUCGAAAGCGUGGGUAGCAAACAGG